UACAGAGGGGGCAAGCGUUGUUCGGAAUUACUGGGCGUAAAGGGCGCGUAGGCGGCCUUCUAAGUCGAACGUGAAAUCCCCGGGCUCAACCCGGGAACUGCGUCCCGAUACUGGAAGGCUUGAAUCCGGGAGAGGGAUGUGGAAUUCCAGGUGUAGCGGUGAAAUGCGUAGAUAUCUGGAGGAACACCGGUGGCGAAGGCGACAUCCUGGACCGGUAUUGACGCUGAGGCGCGAAAGCCAGGGGAGCAAACGGG
rnacentral:rRNA from 1 species